UACGUAGGGUGCAAGCGUUAAUCGGAAUUACUGGGCGUAAAGCGUGCGCAGGCGGUCCGUUAAGACAGAUGUGAAAUCCCCGGGCUUAACCUGGGAACUGCAUUUGUGACUGGCGGACUCGAGUAUGGCAGAGGGGGGUAGAAUUCCACGUGUAGCAGUGAAAUGCGUAGAGAUGGGGAGGAAUACCGAUGGCGAAGGCAGCCCCCUGGGCCAAUACUGACGCUCAUGCACGAAAGCGUGGGGAGCAAACAGG
rnacentral:rRNA from 1 species